rnacentral:ncRNA from 1 species
CCUUUGUACACACCGCCCGGUCGCUCCUACCGAUUGAGUGAUCCGGUGAGCUGUCCGGACUGCGAUUAGUUCAGUUUCUGUUCUCUUCGCGGGAAGUUCUGCAAACCUUAUCACUUAGAGGAAGGAGAAGUCGUAACAAGGUUUCCGUAGGUGAACGUGCGGAAGGAUCAUUC